UGGGAAACGUGCCGUUGGCAGCCCGCCACCCCUCCAUCGUGACCUCAGUCUGCCAAACAGGGAAAUUACUCCAGGAUUUGAAUCAUCACAAGAGAUUCACCAGAGGAUUUUAUACACUUGGGCUGUGGCAGCAGACUAAUUACAUCACAGCACUAGGCUAAAGAAGAAAAAUCACAUGAUCAUAUCAAUAGAUGCAGAAAAAGCAUCUGACAAAAACCAGCUCUCAUUCAUGAUCAGAACUCUCAGCAAACUAGUAAUAGAGGGGAACUUACUCAACUUGAUA
rnacentral:lncRNA from 1 species